GCCAUUUUGUGCAGUCUGUCCUUGCUGAUCCUGCUCAGCAGAAGGCUGGACUCCAUGACUUUCAGAGGUCCCUUCCAACCUUGGCCAUUCUGUGAUUGUGGGAUCCUCUAGCCCCCUGAAUCACAGACAAAUGAGAGUGGUGGUGCCAUAUUUAAUCGGCAGGCACACCUUGGCCAAGCUAUUUUUAACCAUUCACGAGGGAAUUUAGACAGCAGAUCCAUUGGGCCCAUGUUGGCACAACAGCCACGGGCAUUUUAUGCCUUCCGUGGGGAUGGUGCUGGCUGUCGGUGGAGGGAUGUGGCCAUGGGGCUGAGGCUCAUUCUGGGAAGGAUCUGGGUGCACUGUAGACACUAAGCCUGUCCUUUUGUCCUGCCAGGCAAUGUGGUGAGUUCCCCAGCAAGUCCAUCACCCUCAGGUGAGUGAUUCCCUCCUACACCCCCAGAAACCCGAGCAUGGGGAGUGGGCGUGCUGUGCUGCCUUCCCCAGGGCAUGGGGACAAGCAGGAGCUUUACCAGGCAGGAGCUGUUCCAGCUGCACAGGCACGUCCUGCUCCCUGCCUCUCCCCAUCACACCCCGCUGCCCUCACACCCUCUCUUCCCCAGCUCAAAAUUCCUGGAUCCCACACACCCUCGCCACAGGCACGGCGCUGGCAGUGGCGGCCGUCGGCCUCGUUGUCCUGGCUGCAGGCAGCUGGUUUGCCAUCAGGAAAGGUGCCUGCAGAGGGAGAUGCCCAAGGCAGCAGCACGUUGACAGCCCACAGAUGGAAACCACAGACCAUGGCGAAGUCACAUACUCCACCAUCGCCCAUGUUCAACGGGACAGGCCUCCUCCCAUGCAGAAGACGAGCCACACCACGACAUAUGCCACGGUGACCCGCACCCAGACCCGAUAGCGCUGCCACAGGGCAAGGGCACAGGAGCCUUGUCCACAGAUGCCUUUUCUCUCCUGCAGAGUUCUUGUGCAGUCAUAUCAUGGGGCUGCGGGGUGCACUUUGGGCUUCUCUGGAAUUUUUUGUCACAGGGAAGGGCUGUGUGUGUCUAGCCAAGAGGAUGAAGGACUCAUAUCUCUGUUUGCAAUAAAUUAACACCUCUAAAAUAUAUCA
rnacentral:lncRNA from 1 species